rnacentral:rRNA from 1 species
UACGUAGGGGGCAAGCGUUGUCCGGAUUUAUUGGGCGUAAAGGGCGCGUAGGCGGCGGGGUAAGUCUGGUGUGAAAUCUCGGAGCUCAACUCCGAAAUUGCACUGGAUACUGCUCUGCUAGAGGGCUGGAGAGGAGAUCGGAAUUCACGGUGUAGCAGUGAAAUGCGUAGAUAUCGUGAGGAAGACCAGUGGCGAAGGCGGAUCUCUGGACAGCUCCUGACGCUGAGGUGCGAAAGCGUGGGGAGCAAACAGG